GACGAACGCUGGCGGCGUGCUUAACACACGCAAGUCGAACGGAAAGGCCCUGCUUUUGUGGGGUGCUCGAGUGGCGAACGGGUGAGUAACACGUGAGUAACCUGCCCUUGACAUUGGGAUAAAUUCAGGAAACUGGGGCUAAUACCGGAUAGGAGCCACUGCUGCAUGGAGGGGGUUGGAAAGAUUCGGCGGUUGGGGAUGGACACGCGGCUUAUCAGCUUGUUGGUGGGGUAGUGGCUUACCAAGGCUUUGACGGGUAGCCGGCCUGGGAGGGUGACCGGCCACAUUGGGCCUGAGAUACGGCCCAGACUCCUACGGGAGGCAGCAGUGGGGAACAUUGCGCAAUGGGCGGAAGCCUGAUGCAGCAACGCCGCGUGCGUGAUGCCGGCCUUCUGGUUGUAAACCGCUUUCGCCUGUGACGAAGCGUGAGUGACGGUAAUGGGUAAAGAAGCACCGGCUAACUACGUG
rnacentral:rRNA from 1 species